AUCAGCAUGGUAUACAGAAAAAUGCAUUGUUUUAAGCUGAAGGACCUGGGUUCAAAUCCCAGUUCUGAUG
rnacentral:tRNA from 1 species